CUGUCCCUUUUAAAAAAGAAAAUGUAAAUACUAUAAGCUCAAAAGAGUACACAGCUUUGAGAAUUUGCAGUCUCGUCACAAAAAUCAGUACAAACAUAUAGGCUUCCAGCACCUACAAGUGCUUGGACCCCUAACUAAAGGUUGAGAACCACUGCUAUAUAACUCCAUAUAAUGUUUCACUGCUAUAUAACAUUUCCUCUAUCCAUAGAUUUUGAUCACGAUUAAUUGUUUAUCCCCAUAUCAAAGAAAUCUUAUAUGAUAUCAACACAUUGUUCUCUAAAUUUUAACACUUUUCUGUAUACAGACUGAAACAAAGAUGGGCACAGAGGUGAUUCAGUGGACAAUCCAAGAUGUGGCUAAUUGGUUGACUGCAAACAGUUUCCAGGAAUUUAUCCCUACAUUUCAAGGUUAAUCUUACAGAAAUGCCCACUCUCUUUAACUGUCCACUAUGCAGCAAACAAACAUUCUCCCUAAUUAAACAGAUUCGACAUAUUGGCCUUUAUCAUCAAAAUGAACCAAAAUUUGAAUUUACAUGUGGAUUGAACGGUUGUGGCAAAGUCAACAAAACCUUUAGUUCCUAUAGAUCACAUACUUAUCGCAAACAUAGAGACCUUCUUUCAUUGGUCAGUGAAGAAGGGGAAGUUUGUGAUGAUGAGCGCUGUAACUCAGAGGAACAUACGGAGGACUUUCAUGGUCUUGACGAGGAGUUGCCUAACACUAAUGUGGAGGACAUUGCUAACUGCAGAGAGUUUAGAACAGAAGAUUUACUUGCAAACCUCAAGCGCAAUCUUUGUCUUUUCAUUUUGAAAUUAAGAGAGAAGCACUGUAUUGCUGCCACAGUUCAGUUCAGUAUUGUGGAGAACCUGCGAGUCAUCUUUCAGGAGUUCACCACUCAUUAUGCUGAGAUUAUAAGAUUUCAUCUUCAACAACAACAUCAAAUUGAUACUGAUGCUGAUGACGAUUUAUCUGAACUACUUAAUAAGCAAAAUGUGUUUGAUGAAUGCCUUCGACAGAUCAGUAGUGAAUGGAUGCUUGAGCACUAUUGUGAAGAUGAACUUGAAUACAUUGCACCUGUACAAAUUCCGCUGGAUCAAACAGAACAUGGUGCACAUUUCCAGUACAUACCUCUCAAGGCUCUGCUAAGAAAGGUUGCUCAGAAUGAGGAUGUGUGGGCAAUGCUUAACCAAGAGAAAACACCCAAACAUCAGGAUGUUAUGGAGGACUACACUGAUGGAGACCAGUUCAAAAGUUGUGUGCUUUCUUCCUUUCCGAAUGUACGUCUACAUUUCUACAUCGAUGAAUUUGAGAUUGUUAACCCUUUAGGCUCUAAAAAGGGAAAACAUAAACUGACAGCUGUGUAUUUUAAACUUGGAAACAUUGAUAAGAAAUAUACAUCAAAACUUGAGAAUAUUUACCUUUCAUCAUUAAUCAGACAUCGGUAUAUUGAAGAAGAUCUUACCAACUAUAACAAUCUGUUUCAGCCUUUGAUUGAAGAAGUGAUAUGUCUUGAGACCGAGGGAGUGACUCUGUCAUGUAAUGGGGAAAGCAGAAGAUUCUAUGGCACAGUAGUCACCAUCUCAGCUGACAAUCUUUCAGCUCAUUCUUUGAUUGGGCUGAAAAGAAAUUUUUCACAUGGGAGAAUAUGUCGUUUUUGCAUGGCCACAAAAGAAGACAUCACUACCAAAUUCAAAGAAGAGGACUUCACUCUAAGAGACAGUGUUAACUACAGAUAUCACCUACAGGCUGUCUGUGAAAAUCCUGAUAAUGGGUCUGUUUAUGGUGUGCAGAGAGAGUGCUGUUUCUCAUCUCUUAACCAUGCUCCUACAGUGAUAACUCACUUGUUUCCACCUGAUGUGAUGCACGAUAUUUUGCAGGGAGUUAUUCCUAAUGCUCUCAGAUGGAUUCUUCAUCAGUUAAUCCAGGAUAAACACUUCACCCUAGAUCAACUAAACUUUGAAAUUGAAAAUUUAUCAUAUUCUGUAAAUGACAAAACAUCUAAGCCACAAAUCUUGACGGAAAGAAUGUUACGAAGAAAAGGUCAACUCUCUGGUAAAGCUUCAGAAACCUGGAGAUUGUUUCGACUACUACCACUAAUGGUCGGAUCUUAUGUACCUCCAAACAAGUAUUGGAACUGCUACAUUUUACUGCGCGAAGUGGUAGAUUUGAUCAUGGCCCCAGUGGUUAGAAGAUCUUGGAUACCCUAUCUUGAGGAGAAAAUCACAGAGUUUUUGGCAACAUUUCAUGAACUCUUCCCUGAUGGUGUCAUUCCAAAAAUGCAUUUUUUAGUGCACUAUCCUUCACUUAUGCUGAAAUAUGGGCCAUUAAUUCAUUUGUCUUGUAUGCGGUUUGAGGCAAAACAUCAGUAUUUCAAGAAAGUGUCUACUGUUGUUUGCAACUUCAAGAACAUCACCAAAUCACUUGCUAGAAGGCAUCAGCUGAGACAGUGCUGGGAGCAAGCUCAGAAGAAAAGCAUUGGAUAUGAAGUGUGCCAUGCCUCAGGAGCUUGUGAUGUACCAUCAAACACCCUGCCUUCUUUAGUAUUGGCCACACUGGAAUCACAGAUUGGAAGACCUCUGUCAAAUGAAGUCCUACAAAAAACAAAUUCCAUCACAGUUAACAAUACAGCUUAUAAAACUGGAGAAUGCAAAGUGAUUGACACUGUACACACUGAAGAGAUUCCAUUAUUUCUCAAGAUCAAAGCAAUAUAUGGACACAGUGGUUCAUGGUACAUGUUUGGAAAAAUACUCAUUCCAUUCAAAUUUGACAGUCAUCUCCAUGCAUACAAAGUUACCGAAACAUCUUGGUGUGCCCUUGAAGUAGGGAAAGAGUUAGCUUUCCAUGGACUGGACACUUAUAAAAACCUGGAAGGAACUCUUUUGAUCCCCUUGCGACAUUGGAUUACUAAAUAUUAGAAUGUGUAUGUGCAUUUAUACACAAUUCCUAAUGCAGUUUGGUGGAAAAUGUUGUACUCCUAUUGACUCUUCUUGUUUUUACAGAGAAUGAAAUUGAUGGGGACACUUUUGUGAACCUAACUGAAAAUAUGAUAUCAAAAAUAUUUCCGAAAAUGAAGGAUCAAGUUAGAUUUAUAAGAUUACAACAAAGCCUAAAGACGGAGAUGCCCUCUAAGACCACACACACCAAUCAUGAGACUUCAGUUGAUAUUUCACAUGGCCCAAUAUUAAAACACAACAUUGCCCAAACAGUGUGGCCAGCAAAUUAUCAGCUGCCCAAAUUUCCAUUGGCAAUACAAAAAAAACUUGAUGAGGAGAGCAGAGAUUUUUUUUCUUCAACAGGACGGAACAAAUGGAGAUCGAAAGUAAUUCAAACUCUGUUUGAUCAGAUGUGCACAUAUACAUGGUAUCCAACAAGUGAACAGUACAACAAGGUGUGUUCAGCCCUGGUUGCAAAGUACCAAUUCUUGAGAGACAGGACAGGAAGGGGAUAUGUAAGAACAUGACAAGAUUUUUUCAAUUUUAUAAACCCUUAAAUACUUCCUUGAUAUUGUUACGGUGUAGUGUAGUAGAGAUGAUGCAUUACACGGAUAUCCACAACAACGGUUCUUUUACGGAACAAAAGGAGCAAACAUAACACCAUCACACAUUAGAUUAACAAUAAGGACAGACAAGGAGUGAAGGGAGUGAGUCCAUUAUAAAGGGAGUGCUGAUGAAGAAGUCCAGGUGCAGGUGAUCCGUGAUGAUGAGGAGAAGACGAGGGAAGUGAGUGCAGGUGUGGAAACACGAGGAUCAUGGAAAAUGGAGUCCUGGAGACGAGGGAACUGUGACAGUACCUCCCCCGCCUGGUAGGCGCGUCCUCGCGCCGUAGAUAGAACAACCGGGAGGGGGGUGGGCGCCCUGGACACUGAGGUUUCCAGGGCGGAUCAGAGGCUGUGGACAGCCAUGGAGGGUCAGAGGCUGUGGGCGGCCCUGCUGACCCCGAAACCCCGCCCAGG